GAGAAGAACGUAGCGAAAUGCGAUAAGUAAUGCGAAUUGCAGAAUUUCCGUGAGUCAUCGAAUCUUUGAACGCACAUUGCGCCCACUGGUAUUCCGGUGGGCAUGCCUGUUCGAGCGUCAUUAUCCUCCCUCAAACCCCGGGUUUGGUGUUGGACCCAAGUUGUGUGAACAACUGGUCUCAAAGACAAUGACGGCGUCCGUGGGACCCUCGGUGCAACGAGCUUUUAGGAGCACGCAUCGAGUUGCAAGGACCUUCCGGGCCGGUCUCCUUUACCAUUUUACAAGGUUGACCUCGGAUCAGGUAGGAAUACCCGCUGAACUUAAGCAUAUCAAUAAGCGGAGGA
rnacentral:misc_RNA from 1 species